GGGGUACUCGAGUGGCGAACGGGUGAGUAACACGUGGGUGAUCUGCCUUGCACUCUGGGAUAAGCUUGGGAAACUGGGUCUAAUACCGGAUAGGAACCGUCUUUAGUGUGGUGGUUGGAAAGUUUUUUCGGUGCAAGGUGAGCUCGCGGCCUAUCAGCUUGUUGGUGGGGUAAUGGCCUACCAAGGCGUCGACGGGUAGCCGGCCUGAGAGGGUGUACGGCCACAUUGGGACUGAGAUACGGCCCAG
rnacentral:rRNA from 1 species